rnacentral:rRNA from 1 species
CUACGGGAGGCAGCAGUAGGGAAUAUUAGUAAUGGGCGAAAGCCUGAACUAGCAACGCCGCGUGUGCGAAGAAGGCCUUCGGGUUGUAAAGCACUUUUUGAGAGGAUGAGGAAGGACGGUACUCUCAGAAUAAGUCUCGGCUAACUACGUGCCAGCAGCCGCGGUAACACGUAGGAGGCAAACGUUAUCCGGAUUUACUGGGCGUAAAGCGCGUGUAGGUGGUUUGGUAAGUAGGGCGUGAAAGCUCCUGGCUCAACUGGGAGAGGACGUCCUAAACUGCCAAGCUUGAGGAUGGUAGAGGGAGGUGGAAUUCCGGGUGUAGCGGUGGAAUGCGCAGAUAUCCGGAGGAACACCAGUGGCGAAGGCGGCCUCCUGGACCACUCCUGACACUCAGACGCGAAAGCUAGGGUAGCAAACGGGAUUAGAAACCCCAGUAGUCC